GGGCUGCAGUGAGGAAUAUUGGACAAUGGGCGAGAGCCUGAUCCAGCCAUGCCGCGUGCAGGAAGACUGCCUUAUGGGUUGUAAACUGCUUUUAUACAGGAAGAAACAUCCCGACGUGUCGGGACUUGACGGUACUGUAAGAAUAAGGAUCGGCUAACUCCGUGCCAGCAGCCGCGGUAAUACGGAGGAUCCAAGCGUUAUCCGGAAUCAUUGGGUUUAAAGGGUCCGUAGGCGGGCUUGUAAGUCAGUGGUGAAAGUCUGUGGCUCAACCAUAGAAUUGCCAUUGAUACUGCUAGUCUUGAAUUACUAUGAAGUGGUUAGAAUAUGUAGUGUAGCGGUGAAAUGCUUAGAUAUUACAUGGAAUACCAAUUGCGAAGGCAGAUCACUAAUAGUCGAUUGACGCUGAGGGACGAAAGCGUGGGUAGCGAACAGGAUUAGAUACCCUAGUAGUC
rnacentral:rRNA from 1 species